AAGUCGUAACAAGGUUUCCGUAGGUGAACCUGCGGAAGGAUCAUUACCGAUUUUAGCGAACCUGGUCGUUUUUGACCAGGGUUUCGUGAAAUUUGUAUUUAAAACCCACACUUAUUAAAUAAUAAAAUUAUCGUAUCAAUUUAUGAUAAAAAAGAUCACUUUCAACAACGGAUCUCUUGGCUCUC
rnacentral:misc_RNA from 1 species